UACGGGGGGUGCGAGCGUUGUCCGGAAUCACUGGGCGUAGAGGGCGCGUAGGCGGCCUGAUAAGGGUGUGGUGAAAGUCUGGGGCUUAACCCCAGAUCUGCCAUGCCGACUGUUAGGCUAGAGUGCUGUAGGGGCAGGCGGAAUUCCGGGUGUAGCGGUGGAAUGCGUAGAGAUCCGGAGGAAGACCGGUGGCGAAGGCGGCCUGCUGGGCAGAUACUGACACUGAGGCGCGACAGCGUGGGGAGCAAACAGG
rnacentral:rRNA from 1 species